rnacentral:lncRNA from 1 species
CGAUCAGUCACUCUAGACACACCUUCUGGCAAAUCGCCAGGCGCCAUUUUGCAAAGCUCUGCGGUUGACGGAUCUCCGGGCCCCUGGAGCACCCGCCCUCGACACCAGGAAAUAAGGAAAACAUCCGUUUUGCCAGAAAUAGGAAAUUUAAAGCCAAAAAGUCCAUUUUUACCUGAAGCUUCAGAAGAUCCCGUGAAGAAUGUACAAUAAUCAGCAGUUUGCUUACUUCCACACCAACAGAAGGAAAUUUACACUUAUAUGCCCUGAAGAAUUGACUCGUUUCUGUAAAUGACAUAUGGUGGAGAAUCCUUUUUGAAAAUAAAUACUCCUGUUUUCAUGCUGAACGGGUUUUUUCAUUUAAAUUCAUGACAACAUAUCAAAAACCUUGCCAUAAAAAUACAGAGCAAUCAAUUGAAGUAAUACAGGAU